GUUCAGGGGGCCUAGUGGUUAACGUUCCUGUUUUUGGAUUUGGUGACCUUGGUUCGAUUCCGGAACCCCUCAACA